UACGGGGGGGGGCAAGCGUUGUUCGGAAUUACUGGGCGUAAAGGGCUCGUAGGUGGCCAACUAAGUCAGACGUGAAAUCCCUCGGCUUAACCGGGGAACUGCGUCUGAUACUGGAUGGCUUGAGUUCGGGAGAGGGAUGCGGAAUUCCAGGUGUAGCGGUGAAAUGCGUAGAUAUCGGAAGGAACACCAAUGGCGAAGGCAGCCGCCUGGGCCUGAUCUGACACUGAGACACGAAAGCGUGGGGAUCAAACAGGAGUUA
rnacentral:rRNA from 1 species